rnacentral:lncRNA from 1 species
CUCUCUCUCUCUCUCUCUCUCUCUCUCUCUCUCUCUCUCUCUCUCUCUCCCUUCUCUUUCCACUGCCACCUUGCCCUUCUCUCUCUCUCUCUCAAUUUACCUCACGUGACACUGUUUGGCCUGGUAUGGUCCUUCUGAAGCCUCGAGAAGAUCACAACACACUCAGGAGGCUAAAGAAAGAGGAUUGUGAGCUUAAGUUCAGCCUGGUCUACAGUGAGAUGAAAAGUAAAGAAGUGUUCCAAGAGAAAAUCAUCUUUGAAUUGUCGUGAAUCGUGAACAGAAAUUUGCCUGGGAGAGAAAGACACUGAAGGCAAAAAGGCACAGCCCAUGUAAAUGCUGGAAGGCCUAAGAGGACAUGAUGAAGAAUUAAGAGUUUGCAACAGAUCCAGCUUAGUAUCCAUGAAAAAACACAGUGAUGUCAGCAGGCAGAUCAGAAAGAAGAGCUACUUUCAGUCAUGUUUGGGAGUCUGCCCUUUAACACAAUGUCUACUACAGCCAAGCGUAUACUCUUC